rnacentral:rRNA from 1 species
AACGAACGCUGGCGGCAUGCCUAACACAUGCAAGUCGAACGAGACCUUCGGGUCUAGUGGCGCACGGGUGCGUAACGCGUGGGAACCUGCCCUUAGGUUCGGAAUAACUCCCCGAAAGGGGUGCUAAUACCGGAUAAUGUCUUCGGACCAAAGAUUUAUCGCCUUUGGAUGGGCCCGCGUUGGAUUAGCUAGUUGGUAGGGUAAAAGCCUACCAAGGCGACGAUCCAUAGCUGGUCUGAGAGGAUGAUCAGCCACACUGGGACUGAGACACGGCCCAGACUCCUACGGGGGGCGGGAGGGGGGAAUUUGGGAACAGGGGCGAAGCCCGAACCCAGCAGUGCCGGGUGGGGGAUGAAGGCUUUGGGGUUUAAAAGCUUUUUUCCCCGGGAUAAAAAUGCCGGUCCCGGGAAAAAAAGCCCCGGCUACCCCCGU